UGUUCCACAAUUUCCUCUAGGUUUGUGCAGUAUCAUGUUUCAACAUAGCCACUUACAGUUUACCAGUCUUUAAUCAUGUUUUCACUAUACUUCACAAAACGUUGUUACCCUUUACUCUCUUCCCAGGACAAGAUAUUCUAAUACUAUAGAGCAGUCAGAAAGUGUUCAAGCAAGAGCACCAAGCAUCUCCAAUCAUCACAGCAGAACAGCAAUGGUGCACAGAGCAGACUCACCUCUGGCUUAAAUGGAGGCUUACCUGUACAUCAAGAGGAGCCAGGGGGUGGACCUUGGAUUAUUUAACCUGUCUUUUAUGGUGUACAGUAGCAAUUUAGUCUUGUCUUAGUUACUGAGGAGUUUUCCUUUUGCAUGUUGUCACACAGCCUGAAUGAUUGUAGAUCUGUUAUUUAAAACUGCUUGU